rnacentral:rRNA from 1 species
UACGUAGGGUGCGAGCGUUAAUCGGAAUUACUGGGCGUAAAGCGUGCGCAGGCGGUUCGUUAAGUUCGUUGUGAAAGCCCCGGGCUCAACCUGGGAAUGGCAAUGGAAACUGGCGGGCUUGAGUGCGGCAGAGGGGGGUGGAAUUCCGCGUGUAGCAGUGAAAUGCGUAGAGAUGCGGAGGAACACCGAUGGCGAAGGCAGCCCCCUGGGCCGACACUGACGCUCAGGCACGAAAGCGUGGGGAGCAAACAGG